rnacentral:tRNA from 1 species
AAGGGAGACCUAAUUCAGGUAUGGGACGAAAAAAGAGUAGUCGCUACCAAGAAUCAAUCCCAAAAGGUCGGAGCGAGGCGAAAUUGGCUUUCAAACUAGGUUCUGGGUUCACACAAGACCUGAAUCAGGAACAAGGGCUAUUAGCUCAGGUGGUUAGAGCGCACCCCUGAUAAGGGUGAGGUCCCUGGUUCGAGUCCAGGAUGGCCCACCUGCACAGGUGGCAAAAACAAGAGAAGCGAGGAAUCAGCACCUUAUCUUAUAUACAUAUAUAAGAGAGAAUGCUGGCUCUGAGUACAGAGUCCAGAGGAACCUUGAAAACUGCAUAGAGCUAGGUGAAAAAGCCAAAAAAGAAGACCGCAA